GUGCAAGAAAAGAAUGUGAAGCAAAUCAAGAAACUCAGAAAUUAACACGACAUCACGAUAUCAUUUAACACUUGGUCGUCUAAGAAUCGAGGACACCCCAAGUUAUCAAACUGGAUUUCACAGAGGCAGCAGUUAAAUAGGCCGGAUUUUUUGGAAUUUACAGUACAUGGUACUGUAACGACUUGGAACGAAAAAGGACUCUUCUCUUUUUUAAGUAAUGCAAGCAGCAGUGAUGGAAGAAUCAAACGUAGAUACCGUUGAGCAACCCAUCAACACUACCACUAUCACCAACAACCAACAAGAGCAGGCCCAGCUCGAGCAACCGUCUUCACCCACUUCAGUCGCUACGCCGACAAGCACCAAUAGCGGCACCACCAGCAAUCCAACACCAACUUUUAGCUAUGAUGACUUGUUCCCGGCAUUGCCAGCAAAUACCUCUGCACCACUUAGCAGUAACGCUGCCCCAGCAUGUGUGCGUGUAACAACAUCGCAAAAAACUCAGGUGCUGCACGUAUCUGGCGAAGAACGUAAAUCCACUGAAUCCGACAAGUUUGGUGAGGGUGAAUCGAAACGUAUCUGUCAGCAAAUUUCUAAAGAUACAGGCGCUCAAAUUGAAAUCGCAACUGGCAAGAAUCAAUCUUUGACCUUCUUGAUUAAGGGCAAGCAAAACGAAAUCCUGGAUGCACGUCGGCGCAUUUUGAUACAGUUCUCUAUGCAAGCUAUCAAACACGUUUCGAUACCGAAAGAACAUCAUAAAGUCAUUCUUGGUAGACGCGGCGACCGCUUGCACGAGCUAGAGCGUGUAACCGCAACACGCAUCAAUAUUCCCACCCAAACGGAGGAGAGUGAUGUCAUCACAAUUUCAGGUACUAAAGAGGGCGUUGAAAAGGCCGAGCAAGAGAUCCGCCAAUUGUCGGCUGAACAGAAUAAGAAGUGCACGGACCGCACUUCGGUGCCAAAAGUGUAUCAUCCGUUUAUCGUUGGCCCCAAUAAUGAAAAUCUCGCCAAGUUGAUGGAGGAAACUGGCGCGAAGAUCAAUGUGCCACCACAGUCGGUACAAAAGGACGAGAUUGUAAUUUCGGGCGAGAAAGAUGCUGUAGCCAAUGCAAAAGCCAAGGUGGAAGCCAUAUAUAAAGAGAUGGAAAAGAAGUGCUCCACUGUUAGUGUUGAAGUUGCGAAGUCGCAGCAUCGCUAUGUGAUCGGUCCGAAAGGUUCAACGUUGGCGGAUAUUCUUCGCAUCACUGGAGUUUCAGUUGAGAUGCCACCCACGGAUUCGCCAUUGGAGACAAUAACUUUGCGCGGACCGCAAGUGGCCUUGGGCAAUGCGUUGACCGUUGUUUACCAAAAGGCCAACUCUGUUAAAUCAGUUGAGAUCGAAGCGCCUAACUGGACGCAUAAGUAUGUUAUCGGGCGCAAAGGUGCCAAUAUGCGUCAACUGGAGGAGGAAUGCCCGAAUGUGAAUGUCUUCUGUCUGGACGAUAAAAUCAAACUAGAAGGCGAUCCAGAACGUGUUGACCAAGCAACAAACUAUCUCAACGAUAUUGUGCGCAACUACUUGGACCACUAUACGUAUGCGGUGAUGACCGUGAAUCCAUCCUACUAUAAGCAUAUCAUUGGUAAGGCUGGCGCAAACGUGAAUCGUUUAAAGGACGAACUGAACGUAAACAUAUAUAUUGAAGAGCGUGAAGGUCAGAAUACCAUACGUAUUGAAGGUCCGAAGGAGGGCGUUCAACAGGCUCAGCUUGAAUUACAAGAAAAAAUCGAUAAACUGGAAAAUGAAAAGUCAAAGGAUGUUAUCAUCGAUCGCCGUUUGCAUCGUUCGAUUAUUGGUGCCAAGGGUGAGAAGAUACGUGAGAUUAAGGAUCGCUAUCGUCAAGUUACUAUCACCAUACCAAGUCCUCAAGAAAAUACCGAUAUUGUUAAGCUCCGUGGUCCGAAAGAGGAUGUCGACAAGUGCCACAAAGAUUUGCUGAAACUAGUUAAGGAGAUACAGGAGUCAUCACACAUCAUUGAGGUACCAAUCUUCAAGCAGUUCCACAAAUUCGUCAUCGGCAAGGGCGGUGCCAAUAUCAAAAAAAUACGUGAUGAAACACAAACGAAAAUCGACUUGCCGGCUGAGGGCGAUACGAACGAAGUGAUUGUGAUCACAGGAAAGAAAGAAAAUGUGUUGGAGGCCAAGGAACGUAUUCAAAAGAUUCAAAACGAGUUGUCCGAUAUUGUUACGGAAGAGGUACAAAUUUCACCGAAGUUUUACAAUUCCAUCAUUGGCACAGGAGGUAAACUAAUAUCUGCCAUUAUGGAAGAAUGUGGUGGCGUUUCGAUUAAGUUCCCCACCAGCGACUCGAAGAGCGAUAAGGUUACAAUUCGAGGUCCAAAGGACGAUGUGGAAAAAGCCAAAGCUCAACUGCUCGAACUUGCCAACGAACGUCAAUUGGCUUCAUUCACUGCUGAGGUCCGUGCCAAACAGCAGCAUCAUAAAUUCCUGAUCGGCAAAAAUGGCGCUUCCAUCCGCAAGAUUCGCGAUGCUACUGGUGCCCGCAUAAUUUUCCCUUCCAAUGAGGAUGAAGAUAAGGAGGUUAUAAUAAUCAUUGGCAAAGAGGAUAGUGUGAAAUCGGCCAAAGAGCAAUUGGAGGCCAUUAUUAAAGAUAUUGAUCAAGUGACCGAGGGGGAGAUCUCCGUCGAUCCUAAAUUUCACAAGAACUUCGUCGCCAAGCGUGGCGAAAUCUUACAUCGCAUUUCCGAAGAAAACGGUGGCGUUUUGAUUUCUUUCCCGCGGCAGGGUAUCGAUUCCGACAAGGUUACCUUGAAGGGCCCCAAAGAUUGCAUUGAGGCGGCGAAGCUACGUAUUGCUGAAAUUGUUGGCGAUUUAGAGGCGAUGGUCACCAUUGAUGUAGUUAUUCCACAGCGACUACAUCGUACCAUAAUGGGUGCACGCGGCUUCAAGGUACAGCAAGUGACUUCUGAGCACGAUGUUAACAUUAAAUUUCCGGAUCGCGAUGCUACUAAUCCAGUUGAGGGUUUGGUAAAUGGUACCAAUGGCAGUGGUGAGGAUGGUGAUGAAAAUGUGGAGCCUGUGCGGGAAUGUGAUAUUAUUCGCAUAAGCGGUCGCCUGGAAAAGUGCGAAGCGGCAAAGCAAGCUUUGAUUGAUUUGAUACCGAUCGUCAAGGAGCUAGAAGUGCCCUACGAUCUGCAUCGCACAAUCAUCGGUCCGAAAGGUGCCAACGUACGUCAAUUCAUGUCAACUUAUGAUGUGCACAUUGAGUUGCCGCCCAGCGAAACAAAGUCGGACUUGAUCAAACUUAGUGGCACACCGGCGCACGUAGCGGAAGCUGAGGCAGCUUUAGACAAAAUGAUUGAAGAGUACGAAGCAGAUCGUGCCGAUCGUGAGCUUCGUUCGUAUGAAUUGAAAAUCGAUGUGGAUACCCAGUAUCACUCAAAAUUGAUUGGUCGUCGCGGUGCCGUAAUCAAUAAGCUACGCGCCGAUCAUGACGUGCAAAUCUCGCUGCCAAAACGUACAGAUCCCGAUCCACGAAUCAUCACCAUCACUGGCUACCAGACCAACACCGAAGCCGCGCGUGAUGCAAUUAUGGAAAUUGUCGGAGACUUGCAGGAUUUAUAUCGUGAGGUAAUCGAAGUAGACUCGCGCAUACAUUCGCACAUAAUCGGACAUCGUGGUCGGACCAUACGCAAGAUAAUCGAAGAUUAUAAGGUCGACAUCAAAUUCGCUUCCUCUGACGAUGCUCAAAAUAAUCCCAACGCCGUAACUAUUAUCGGCAAAGAGGAGGAUGUCGAAAAUGCCAAGGAAGUUAUACUCAAUAUGGCUGAGGACUAUACCAACGAAUAUUUGGACAAUUUGCCACCAUCACCACAGCCUCAGACAGUGGCGGCCUUCCUACCUGGCGGUAAUGAAAAUGGUUUUGUUAUUAAAGAUGCACCAUGGGAAAAAACUAACGACAGACACGGCAAGAGCUCUGCACCCAAUACUCAGUCGCAGGAGGAUUUCCCAGAUUUCGCAGCUGGAGGUCCAGCACCAGUGUCUUCACCCUUAACAUCAGCAUGGGGACCGAAAAACUAAAUUAAACAAAUUUAGACAGAAAAAACAAUAACUAACAAAAGUUAUAAGUAAAAAGUUUACAAAAAAAUCAGACAAAAAAACAGUAAAAAGUGCAAACGCAUCAAAAUAUAUUAAAAAACAUGUAUGUAACUAAAAGGCAAACGUUAAAAAAAAAAUCUUGAAGACCUAAACAAGAAAUCUAAGGAUCAAAUUUGGGUAGGAGACCAACACACGCAUAUACACGCCCACUCACAAAUACGUGUGAGUGUUGAAUCGAAGGUUGUCCAUACAAAGCGUUUUUGUUCUAAAAUCAAAUAUAUAAAUAUGUUGCAAUUUUCGCCUAGGAUUACUAGAAAAAAAAAUACUAAAGCAGGCAACCACACCCAAAUCACAAAAAAGACGGCAUCGAAAUUUUAAAUUCAAUAUUCUUAAAGUUAAGCGCUUUCUGUAAUUCUGUGUUCAAUUUAAGUGUAACGUGGGUUUUGACCUAUGCGUACACAAAUAAGGAUUUUGUUGCGGCUAACUUCUCAUGUUCAACAGGCAAAAUAUCCACUUUGCUUUUCAAUUUUUUUGCAAAUUUUAUUUGAAGUUUUCGUUUGUUACGCGAUCGAAAGUUAAAACAUUAUGGGCAAUUUGAAAUACAUAUGUAUUACGCAUACGCAUUUUUGUUUGAAUAUCGUUGUUGAUAUGUGGAGAGGUAGAUCAGUCAGUUGAUCUUUUGCAAACCAAAUUACCAAAAUGCUCCAAAAAUUAAAACCCCCAAAUCUUAAGGAAAUAAUUUUUGAUCUGCUUGAAUGUGCAAAAAAAUACUUAUCCCUUAUGCAUUAACGUUCGUCUUUUUAGAUUUUUUGGCAUGCAAACAAAUUUGUUACAAUCUAUGAAAUAUUAUUUCGCAAUGCAAUUUUUUUUUUGCAACAAAUGUUUUACUCUUCAUACAAAUACAGUAGAUACAUUUAUAUACAUAAUUGCGAGCGAUUGUAAACGCAAAAUGCAACGAAAAUAUGAACGUAAAUCGAACAGAUAAUUCAAUAACAUAGAAAUAAAAAGCGCAGACAACUUUAAUACAUAUUUGCCAACCUCCCUUGUAAUCAUUUUUGGUUAUUCAUGAAGAGAUAGGCGCAUAUGAAAACAUAAAUUCGUUAGCGGGGAAUACAUAGUUGAUAGCAAUAUAUUUUCUUUAAAUAUAAACCAUGAUUUUUUUCGAAAUAAUGUUAAAGUGAAUUGUUUUAUAUUUGUAUUUAAUUGAAUAUAUAUAUAAUAUAUAUACAUACAUUAUAUAUUAUAUACAUACAUACAUAAUAUAAACGAGUUUAUACUUAUUAUAAAUCCGUAAUGUUCCCUCUUAAAUCCUACGAACGAAUCAAUUCACAAUAUUAUGCUGCCUGUAAUUGGUGAAAAUCGCAACUGAAUGCUGUAAACGGGUUCUUGCUAAGUGCUCGCUAUUGCAAUUUUUAAAUAAUUUUAUGUGCAUAA